UUUUUGUUUUGUUUUGUUUUUGUUUUUUUGAGACAGAGUCUUGUUCUGUCACCCAGGCUGGAGUGCGGUGGCACAAUCUCGGCUCCCUGCAGCCUCCACCUCCCAGGUUCAAGCGAUUCUCCUGCCUCAGCCUCCCGAGUAGCUGGGACAAGUGUACACCACCAUGCCCGGCUAAUUUUUGUAUUUUUAAUAGAGAUAGGGUUUUGCCAUGUUGGCCAGCCUUGUCUCGAACUCCUGGCCUCAAGUGAUCCACCUGCCUUGGCCUCCCAAAUUGCUGGGCCACUGUGCACAGCCUAAAACAUUGUUUUAUUAAAAAUAAAGAGAACUCACUGUGCCUCUUCAGAGCAUGCGCUCUCUAAAACCGUGGGACUGUGUGGAAUGUGUCUUAUGAGGUGUAGAAAUUCCCAGAAUUACAGUUGGUCACAUGAGAAGGAAAACAUUUCAGCCGAGGGGCUGAGCCCUCAAAUGUGCCAGGCCACAUGGCGGGCCUUGGCAUCUCAGCACUGGGAAUCUGAUGGCAGGAGUGGCAGCCUGCUGACAGGGACUGGGAACCAGUCCUCUCCACAUGUCUGUGGGGUCCUUGCUUGAGGUUUUGCACCCAGCUGAUCCAGGCUGUGGGCCCAGGGCUGGGCCAUGAGGGGCGUCACUGCAGAGAGGGGUCUGGCUGAGGCCACCGGACCAUGGCUGACACGCUCGGUGUCUAUGUAGGGAGGCCGAUAUUCAUGGGGAUCCAAGGCCUCCUGACCAGGAGCCUCCUAAGCAGAACUGCUCACGGAAGUGGCUCCUAUAUAUUUGGAAUGUUAACCAUCCUCUCAGCCACCGCCAGUGCUGUUUAUUCACUCAGCAUACGCUGAUGCCCACCUCCUGGUACUUGGAGUAUCCUGGGCUGUGGGAGAGACGCAGGAAUGAAGGAAAGUGCUUUGCUGCCCGAACUGCUGCCUGGCCAGCCCAUCCAGCUGUAGAAGGACACAGCUGCUGUCCCUGGCAGUGAACCUGGAUACCCGUGUCCCCACCCUUCCUGCAGCCAUAAGGAUUCUGGCCUGUCCUCUCAAGCUACCCAAGGCCCCUGGCUGGUGGCCUCUUCCAGAGCCGGAGAUGGGAGAGAGGAGGCAUGAGGGCAGGAUGUGGAGCCACUUCAUGGAGACCCCACCCAACCUGACUCGGACCCCACUUCUGAGACUCUUUUCCUCCUCAGCCCAAGGAGUUUGUAUCUGCCUUUAGAUAAACUCUUAUUCUUUCUAAA
rnacentral:lncRNA from 1 species